rnacentral:rRNA from 1 species
GACGAACCGUACGAACGUUAUUCGGAAUCACUGGGCUUAAAGGGUGCGUAGGCUGCGCGGAAAGUUGGGUGUGAAAUCCCUCGGCUCAACCGAGGAACUGCGCCCAAAACUGCCGUGCUCGAGGGAGACAGAGGUGAGCGGAACUUAGGGCGGAGCGGUGAAAUGCGUUGAUAUCCUAAGGAACACCGGUGGCGAAAGCGGCUCACUGGGUCUCUUCUGACGCUGAGGCACGAAAGCUAGGGUAGCGAACGGG